rnacentral:rRNA from 1 species
UGGGGAAUAUUGCACAAUGGGGGAAACCCUGAUGCAGCGACGCCGCGUGAACGAAGAAGGUAUUCGUAUCGUAAAGUUCUGUCCUAUGGGAAGAUAAUGACAGUACCAUAGAAGAAAGCUCCGGCUAAAUACGUGCCAGCAGCCGCGGUAAUACGUAUGGAGCGAGCGUUGUCCGGAAUUAUUGGGCGUAAAGGGUACGCAGGCGGUUUAAUAAGUCGAAUGUUAAAGAUCGGGGCUCAACCCCGCAAAGCAUUGGAAACUGAUAAACUUGAGUAGUGGAGAGGAAAGUGGAAUUCCUAGUGUAGUGGUGAAAUACGUAGAUAUUAGGAGGAAUACCAGUAGCGAAGGCGACGUUCUGGACACAAACUGACGGUGAGGUACGAAAGCGUGGGGAGUAAACAGG